rnacentral:rRNA from 1 species
GACGAACUGGCAUCGGGCUAAUAUCUCGGUGUCUUGACGGUACUGCCUUAGCAAGCAUCGGCUAACUCUGUGCCAGCAGCCGCGGUAAGACAGAGGAUGCGAACGUUGCUCGGAGUUUACUGGGCGUAAAGCGCGUGUAGGCGGUCUCGUUAGUCGGGUGUGAAAGCCCCGGGCUCAACCCGGGAAGUGCACCCGAUACUGCGAGACUGGGGUACUGAAGAGGAGAGCGGAAUUCCCGGUGUAGAGGUGAAAUUCGUAGAUAUCGGGAGGAACACCAGUGGCGAAGGCGGCUCUCUGGGGCAGAUACCGACGCUGAGACGCGAAAGCGUGGGGAGCAAACAGGAUUAGAUACCCUGGUAGUCCACGCUGUAAACGAUGACGACUGGGGUGUUGCAGGUAUUGACCCCUGCGGUGCCGAAGCCAACGCGUUAAGUCGUCCGCCUGGGAAGUACGGCCGCAAGGCUAAAAACUCAAAAGGAAUUGACGGGGGGCC